CCGUGAGGGAAAGUUGCAAAGAACUUUGAAGAGAGAGUUCAAGAGGGCGUGAAACCGUACAGAAGGAAACAGAUAGAGCCAAUGAGUGUGACUCUGUUCGUGUGUUAUCUUGCGGCGGCCUAGCCACUUCUAGUUGUUGUGAUAGGAGGGAGUGGUCGUUGUGGGAAUAUGCAUUUUUCAGUGUUACAGUGCUGAGACUUCUGGGUGACUGGAUUGAAGGUGUGGAAGAGCAACCACUUGUGGAAGUGCUUCUGUGCUGGAUGUCUGUGUUGUCUAGUCGUAAUGGGGUAGUCAAGUGUGGCGUCCCUAAAGUGCAACCUUUGAUGGCAGGACUUUUGCAGUAAGCUUGCUUGCUGUAGAGAAUCGGCUGUCUUUGGGAGUGCUGUUGGGGCUCCUCUCGGUAUCAAAGUUGGUCACCUAUCUGACCCGUCUUGAAACACGGACCAAGGAGUCUAACAUGUGCGCGAGUUUGAAGGUGGUAAACCUGAAAGCGAAAUGAGAGUGAACGCAAGGCCUAAUUGCUGACAUGCGAUCGCUCUGGAGACAGAGUGUGUAGCGUGGUCCGGUUCCAUCUGCUUGUCAGUGGGGCUGCGACUGAGCGUACACGUUGGGACCCGAAAGAUGGUGAACUAUGCCUGAGCAGGGUGAAGCCAGAGGAAACUCUGGUGGAGGCCCGAAACGGUUCUGACGUGCAAAUCGAUCGUCAGACUUUUGGUAUAGGGGGCAAAAGA
rnacentral:rRNA from 1 species